rnacentral:tRNA from 1 species
GGGAAGAUGGCUGAGCGGUCAAAAGCAACAGACUGUAAAUCUGUCGACAUUAUGUCUACCUAGGUUCGAAUCCUGGUCUUCCCACCA